rnacentral:rRNA from 1 species
AGUCACUGACAUUAGAUACCCGGGUAGUCCCAGCCGUAAACAAUGUGCGUUAGGUGUGUCGGUAACCACGUGUUACUGAUGCGCCGAAGAGAAAUCGUGAAACGCACCACCUGGGAAGUACGGUCGCAAGGCUGAAACUUAAAGGAAUUGGCGGGGGAGCACCACAACAGGUGGAGCCUGCGGUUUAAUUGGAUUCAACGCCGGACAUCUCACCGGAUAAGACAGCUGAAUGAUUGUCAAUCUGAAGGUUUACAUGACUAGCUG